rnacentral:rRNA from 1 species
AUUGAACGCUGGCGGCAGGCCUAACACAUGCAAGUCGGGCGCGCGGCGGACGGGUGAGUAAUGUAUGGGGAUCUGCCUGAUGGCGGGGGAUAACUACUGGAAACGGUAGCUAAUACCGCAUACCAUCAGAUGCACCCAUAUGGGAUUGGCUAGUAGGUAAGGUAACGGCUUACCUAGGCGACGAUCCCUAGCUGGUCCGAGAGGAUGGUCAGCCAAACUGGGACUGUGACACGGCCCGGACACCUACGGGAGGCAGCAGUGGGGAAUAUUGCGCAAUGGGCGCAAGCCUGAUGCAGCCAUGCCGCGUGUAUGAAGAAGGCCUUCGAGUUGUAAAGUACUUUCAGUCGGGAGGCGUUACCGACAGAAGAAGCACCGGCUAACUCCGUGCCAGCAGCCGCGGUAAUAC